GCCGGCGUAGCACAGCGGCAGUGCAGGGUUUUUGUAAAGCUCAGGUCGGGAGUUCGAUCCUCUCCGCCGGCACCA
rnacentral:tRNA from 1 species